UCCAGCAUUCUUUUGUUUAGAGCUUUCUUUUCUGCUGCGAACGAAGUUGAUGGCGGUCGCGUGUGCGAUUGCUCUGAAGAUUAUGCGAUGAAUCAUAGUAUUUUAGUUAUUAUUUUACUUUGUUUUCGAAAAUACAAGUUGUAUAAGUGGAGAAAUUCCUGUUUUGCGAUAUAUCGAUCUAAACCCGGCUAUUCUACACAGUGGAAUUCGGAGGAAAAACUGGACGGAGAUCUGGAGUGUGUGAGCCGUGUUCUUCCUUAAGCUAGGAUGGUAUUGCCUAUGAGCGAACUUUUCUGCUCCCACACAUGGCCUGUUGACUGUUGCCCCAGUGAAGAACCCAAGGUCCAGCCUUCCCCACUCAAGACAUGCCUGAGACAAGAGUGACUGUAUUCCAAGUUGAUCCAAGGUGAUCCUAACUUAAAUGUAGUUCACCGCUUGAAAAAGACAAAAAUACUCAACACUAUUAAUGUUGAAAUCAUUGGUCUAUGGUUAUUACUGUCCUGAAACCCUUCACCCUUUUUGUUUUUGUAUCUAGUUUGUCUCAUCUUCUGUACCAUAAUUAUGCUUGCACAUAUUGCCUACCUAGAAAUGUAACUUGAACCUGAUCUCAAUGGUAUUCUAUACAAUGACAAUAAAGGCUUUAUUCUAUUUGGGCUUUGUGUACAUUUUUUAUUGCUGCACUUAAAUUUUGAAGAUAUGAAUUACAGAAGCAAUGGCAUUUCAUUGGUAGGAUAGAAUGGAGAUCAAAAUGUAUGGUCAGGGUUUAGUAAGUGACCAAUCCGCAACGUUGUGGAAAGGUAAAUAACGUAAUAAAGAAGUUUAAACAACGUGUCAGCAACGUAAAUCUAUUAACGUUAUGACGGAUGACUGCCUGGCGACGUAAUCACAACUUCGGGGUAAGGUAAUUCUAUUACAUUGUCAAACGUAAAGUUGUAAGGACGUAACUGUUACGUAUCCACAACGUUGUUUUGCGACGUCGUGCUGGUCUUACGUUUUUACGGUAAUACUACGUAAAUUGAGACGUAACGCGGACAUUAUGAGACCAAUAGAUGAUGUUCAUAGUACGUCGCCACAACCACAUUUUGUUAGUAGGGAUAGUUGGCGUGGCCCAGGUGCCAACUGACUGACGUCACACAGGCGAAACUGGUUGGAUCCGGUUGGAUCUCUGGGAAGUGAGGUCCAAAAACACACUUACAAUUACUGCUUUUCGCCUUUGGUACCGCCAAAGAGAACGAAACGGAAAUCUUUGAGAUUGUAACUUCAAAGAAAACGCCAAUUCGCGUUUAAGGGUUCUUGGACAUUUCUGAACAUGACGUGUUGAACCAGUGCGUUGUAAUUUGGCGCUCCGCCUGUGUGUAUUUGGCAAGUGCGCUAGCAAUAAAAAUAAAUGGGAAAGUAAAUUAUGGGUCAGAGCAACUAAUUAAUACGGUGAUGUUUAUAAAAAAGUAUUUAGCCAUGUGUAUGGUUGAUUUAAUGAAGAGUAAUGAGACACAAAGAAAUGAAUCACAAAUGUGUAAUUGGAGCAGUUUAUGAUCACAACUAUAUGUAAAUGCAUAGAGAGUGAAUAUGUAAUCCUCUUUUUGGCCUAUUCAGGCCUAUUUCCUUUCUCCCUGUUUGUGUUAGAUUCGACAUCUUUGGAGGAAAGUGGAUUUCUUCUGCUGCUUCUCUGCGCUACUACAGUGGUGGUAGAGUUUAGCAGUUGUGGCGAGCCAAGCUAAUUGAUGGGACGAUUCUGAAAGAUCUGAACUGUUGCUUUCAUCUGAAAUCCUGGUAGGACUGAUCAUUGCCAGAACACUGAAGGACACAUGUAAUAGACUGUAUAUUUUCAUUCCCUUCAUUGGACUGAAAAAAAGGGAAUCACUGUUUCAUUGGUUGAAGUUACUUUUAUUGCUCUGUUGAUUGAUAUUGAUAUUUGGGGAAUUGAUACUAUUUCUUUUAAAAGGUAUUUUGAUACAUA